rnacentral:rRNA from 1 species
AACGAACGCUGGCGGCAUGCCUAACACAUGCAAGUCGAACGAGAAGUCCGGGGCUUUUGGCGCACGGCGGCGUAACGCGUGGGAAGCUGCCCUUAGGUUCGGAAUACCUCCCCGAAAGGGGUGCUAAUGCCAGAUAGGGUCUUCUGACCGAAGAUUUAUUGCCUUUGGAUGUGCCCGAGUUGGAUUCGGUAGUUGGUAGGGUAAAAGCAUCCCAAGGCGACGAUCCAUAGCUGGGCUGAGAGGAUGAUCAGCCACACUGGGACUGAGAAACGGCCCAGACUCCUACGGAAGGCAGGAGUGGGGGAUAUUGGACCAUGGGGUAAAGCCUGAUCCAGCCAUGCCGCGUGAGCGAUGAUGGCCUUAGGGUUGUAAAGCUCUUUUACCCGGGAUGAUAAUGACGGUACCGGGAGAAUAAGCUCCGGCUAACUCCGUG